rnacentral:rRNA from 1 species
UACGAAGGGUGCUAGCGUUAUUCGGAAUUAUUGGGCGUAAAGGGUGUGUAGACGGCAUAUUAAGUCAACUGUUAAAUUCUCCGGCCUAACUGGGGAUCUGCGGUAGAAACUGAUGUGCUAGAGGAUGAAAGAGAGAAGUGGAAUUCUCGGAGUAGCGGUAAAAUGCGUAGAUCUCGAGAGGAACACCGAUGGCGAAGGCAGCUUCUUGGUUCAUUCCUGACGUUGAGACACGAAAGCGUGGGGAGCAAACAGG